rnacentral:tRNA from 1 species
GCCCCUGUAGCUCAAUCGGAUAGAGCGUCGUCCUCCGCCGGCGAAGGUUGACGGUUCGAGUCCGUCCAGGGGCA